UACGUAGGGUGCAAGCGUUGUCCGGAAUUAUUGGGCGUAAAGAGCUCGUAGGCGGUCUGUCGCGUCUGCUGUGAAAACUCGGGGCUUAACCCCGGGCCUGCAGUGGGUACGGGCAGACUAGAGUGCGGUAGGGGAGACUGGAAUUCCUGGUGUAGCGGUGAAAUGCGCAGAUAUCAGGAGGAACACCGGUGGCGAAGGCGGGUCUCUGGGCCGUAACUGACGCUGAGGCGCGAAAGCGUGGGGAGCGAACAGG
rnacentral:rRNA from 1 species